AAGUAGAAGUCGAGGAAAAAUUCUUUUCGGAUAUAGGACAAUGAGUUUGGAUCUUGACACCACUACAAAAAAUAUGGGUAUUGAUAGCAGUUCACGGUAGCACGAAUUCACCAACGGCUACUAAAAGUGUUAAAAUCUGAUCCCAACUAUUUGGUAGCAUUUAAUUAGUGUUACGAAAAAGCCAAAAAUGCCUUUGGUAGCUGGAAAUUUCAUUUAGAGCCGAAACAACUUGGCCAAAUUUGUGGAAAAAAAUUCUUCUUGUUAAGUGAUUUCCAAAAACUUCAUUCAUCGCCUAGACAGUUUCUUUUCCAACAGUUUAUUCUCUCAUUAUCGAUAACCUUUUAUACUCUGAUUCUUAUUUUUCUCCAACAUCAUCAUCAGGUUUGCUUAAUCAAAGACUCAGAUGACGAUUUCCGGGACAAUAGAACUCUCUAUCUCUCUCUAUUUCUUUGUGGGGCUUUUUCUCAAAAUUAAAAUUAUCUUCUUCUUCUUCUGGAUUUCGACGAAGAUUUUUGGGUUGUCGAAGAUGAUUUCUGGGACAGCGAUUCCGAUCUCAUCAGGUAAGAGGUGGCUGAUGAGGGAUGGUUCGGCGGAGACAGUGGACCAGUUUCUUUUCCGGCGAGUAGUUUUCCUGGAACGUCUCUGUUUGGGUUCGUUGUCAGCGACGCUCUAUCAGUCUGUAGAAUUUGAAGAAGAAGACGAAUAAGCCCCCCUUCUCAUGGCCAUCAAAGGCUAGACUCUUUGCCCAUCGCCCUUCGUCCUCCUCUUCUUCCGAUUUUGCCAAUGGUGGAGAUGCUCCCUUUUCUGCCGUUAGGGCUCCAAGUCUCUGAGGCAUCUGAUCUUUUCGGCAAAGAGCAGAGCUGGGGCCGUUCAGAAAGCAAGGUGAGGAGAUGAAGAAUCAAAGCCUGGUGAUGAGUACUUCGAGUCGUACAUAGCAGAGAAAGACGGAAUACUCUCGUCCUUAGCAAAACGUGCAAAGGUUAGCCAUUCAAAGAGAACUUACUAACUAAACUUGCAGUUUUUAUGGAACUAAUGAACUUGCAGUUUUGGUUUGUGGCGUGUGUAGUGCUUUGUGGAGCACACUGAAAAUAGUAAGGUAAAGAAAGAUCUUCACUUUAGUUUUGUUUAAGAAUGUAGAGUGUUUUGUGGACUAUAACAGACAUUGGCAUUUGCUUGACAAACAAUGGAAGCGGCAGUGGUCAUGAGCGAAGGAGGCGACUGCGGUAAUAGCAAAAAUUGCUUCUCAACAUUUGACUGAACAGGUUCCAGCGAUCUUAGGAAUUGUUUUGCAGGUUGAAGAUGAAGUCCCUAGACUUAGCAAUCUUAGAAAUUGUUUUGUUUUUUUUUUUAUUAUUAUUUUGGUUUAUGUGUAUUUUAAAUGAUUUAUGAAAUAUAAUUUUUAUAGAUGAAA